UACAGAGGUCUCAAGCGUUGUUCGGAAUUACUGGGCGUAAAGGGCGCGUAGGCGGCCUUCUAAGUCGAACGUGAAAUCCCCGGGCUCAACCCGGGAACUGCGUCCGAUACUGGAAGGCUUGAAUCCGGGAGAGGGAUGCGGAAUUCCAGGUGUAGCGGUGAAAUGCGUAGAUAUCGGAAGGAACAUCAGUGGCGAAAGCGACUUCCUGGACCAGUACCGACGUUCAGGCACGAAAGCGUGGGGAGCAAACAGG
rnacentral:rRNA from 1 species